rnacentral:tRNA from 1 species
GCUCGCGUAGCUCAGGGGAUAGAGCGUCUGCCUCCGGAGCAGAAGGUCGCUGGUUCGAUUCCAGCCGCGAGCGCCA